rnacentral:rRNA from 1 species
AUUGAACGCUGGCGGCAGGCCUAACACAUGCAAGUCGAGCGGAAACGAUCCUAGCUUGCUAGGAGGCGUCGAGCGGCGGACGGGUGAGUAACGCGUGAGAAUCUACCCAUGAGUGGGGGACAACCCGGGGGAAACUCGGGCUAAUACCGCAUACGCCCUACGGGGUAAAGCAGGGGACCUUCGGGCCUUGCGCUGAUGGAUGAGCUCGCGUCGGAUUAGCUUGUUGGUGAGGUAAAGGCUCACCAAGGCGACGAUCCGUAGCUGGUCUGAGAGGAUGAUCAGCCACACCGGGACUGAGACACGGCCCGGACUCCUACGGGAGGCAGCAGUGGGGAAUCUUGGACAAUGGGGGCAACCCUGAUCCAGCCAUGCCGCGUGUGUGAAGAAGGCCUUAGGGUUGUAAAGCACUUUCAGCAGUGAGGAAGGCUUACCCCUAAUACGGGUGAGUACUUGACGUUACCUGCAGAAGAAGCACCGGCUAAUUUCGUG